AGUGAACGCUGGCGGUAGGCCUAACACAUGCAAGUCGAGCGGCAGCACAGUACUAGCUUGCUGUUUCGGCUGGCGAGUGGCGGGCGGUUCCGGAAUACAUCGGUAUCUACUUUUUCUUAGGGGCUAACGUAGGGACACUUACCCUAUUACCCCAUACGACGUACGGGUGAAAGCAGGGGAUCUUCCGCCCUUGCGCGAUUGGAUGACGGAUUAGCUAGUUGGUGGGGUAAAGGCCUACCAAGGCGACGAUCCGUAGCUGGUCUGAGAGGAUGAUCAGCCACACUGGAACUGAGACACGGUCCAGACUCCUACGGGAGGCAGCAGUGGGGAAUAUUGGACAAUGGGCGAAAGCCUGAUCCAGCCAUACCGCGUGGGUGAAGAAGGCCUUCGGAUUGUAAAGCACUUUAGGUGGGAAAGAAAAGCAGUAGGUUAAUACCUCGCUGUUCUGACGUUACCAAAAGAAUAAGCACCGGCUAACUUCGUG
rnacentral:rRNA from 1 species